GACCUCAAAUCAAGCAAGAGGACCCGCUGAAUUUAAGCAUAUAACUAAGCGGAGGAAAAGAAACUAACAAGGAUUCCCUCAGUAACGGCGAGUGAAGCGGGAAGAGCUCAACUUAAAUCUCCCAACAGGGCGAAUUGUAGUCUAGAGAAGCUGUCAUCAUUCGGGGUUCCGGCUCAAGUGCCAUGGAACUGGCUGCCAGGGAGGGUGAUAGCCCCGUCCUAGCCGCGGACCAACGGAGUACGAUGCGCUUUCGAAGAGUCGAGUUGCUUGGGACUGCAGCUCAAAUCGGGUGGUAAAUUCCAUCCAAAGCUAAAUACAGGCGAGAGACCGAUAGCGAACAAGUACUGUGAAGGAAAGAUGCAAAGAACUUUGAAAAGAGAGUUAAAGAGUACCUGAAAUUGCUGAAAGGGAAGUGUUUGAGCUCAGUGUUGU
rnacentral:rRNA from 14 species